AAAAAAAUCUGCAAAAAGUAUUGACAGGCUUCCCAACCCGUGCUAUUAUACUCCCUGUCAACGAAAGCCGCCUGUAUGUACAGGUGGUGCGGUGAUUAUCGCGAAAGGGUUCCACCCGUUCCCAUCCCGAACACGGUAGUUAAGCCUUUCAGCUCCGACGAUACUUGGCGGGCAGCUGCCUGGGAAAAUAGGACAUUGCCGCUC
rnacentral:rRNA from 1 species